UUAAAUGAUAUACCCUUUUUGAACCUUGGCCUUAAACAGUAUGAAAACCCUUGUUUGAAUUGAAUUACCUUGAGUUGGGUUGAGAAUAAUUGUAUGUGUUGAAAAGGUUCAAGUUUGGGGUUAUAUGGGGAAAGUGAAAGGCAAAAGAAAAAGCAUUGAGUUCAAAAGUUGAAAAAGUAACAUGCAUGAGAAAGAAAGGAAAAGAAGAAAAGAGAAAAAGCAUGUAGUGAACUCAAUGUAAAAAGAGGAAAAAAGGAAGAAGUUGGGAAUGAGUGAGAUUGGUUAAAAAGAGAGUGUGCUUGAACUUUGAAUGAUAAUUUAAACUCUCUUAACUCAAGGAUUUUGUAUUCCAAAAAAACUAAUUUUUCUUGAUAGCCCAGCCUCAUUAUAAGCCUUGGAAAAAGUCCUUGCGAUGGCAUUUGCAUAUGAAGAUUUUGAUUCAUUUAGAUGAAUGGCAAUAUUGUUUUAUGUGACAUGUGAACGGUAGAGAGUAGAGUGACCUCCUAAACACUUGAGCGAUUGAGUGAAACACUUGCUUGUUGAGAAUUGUUAAAUCCAUGUUACAUCUAUGAUUAGUUGAUUAAUAACUCAUGAAUAAAAUAUCUGUUGGAAAAAAAAUAUUGAUUAC
rnacentral:lncRNA from 1 species